rnacentral:rRNA from 1 species
CAGCACCUCAAGUGGUCAGGAUGAUUAUUGGGCCUAAAGCAUCCGUAGCCUGCUUUGUCAGUUUUCGGUUAAAUCUGUAUGCUCAACAUACAGGCUGCCGGGAAUACUGCAGAGCUAGGGAGUGGGAGAGGUAGACGGUACUCGGUAGGAAGGGGUAAAAUCCUUUGAUCUAUUGAUGACCACCUGUGGCGAAGGCGGUCUACCAGAACACGUCCGACGGUGAGGGAUGAAAGCUGGGGGAGCAAACCGGAUUAGAUACCCGAGUAGUCC